UGGAAGAAUGAUACGCGAGAUAAAAAUAGUUUAAUUUCUCGUCAUAAAUUCUUCCUAUAGAAAAAUUGCCUUCUGAUGACUGUGAUUUGUGAAGAUUUAAUUUAUAGACAGAUACGGGGCAUAUAAAA
rnacentral:snoRNA from 1 species